rnacentral:rRNA from 1 species
UAGGGAAUCUUCGGCAAUGGGGGGAACCCUGACCGAGCAACGCCGCGUGAGUGAAGAAGGUUUUCGGAUCGUAAAGCUCUGUUGUUAAGGAAGAACGAGUGUGAGAAUGGAAAGUUCAUACUGUGACGGUACUUAACCAGAAAGGGACGGCUAACUACGUGCCAGCAGCCGCGGUAAUACGUAGGUCCCGAGCGUUGUCCGGAUUUAUUGGGCGUAAAGCGAGCGCAGGCGAUUAGAUAAGUCUGAAGUUAAAGGCAGUGGCUCAACCAUUGUAGGCUUUGGAAACUGUUUAACUUGAGUGCAGAAGGGGAGAGUGGAAUUCCAUGUGUAGCGGUGAAAUGCGUAGAUAUAUGGAGGAACACCAGUGGCGAAGGCGACUCUCUGGUCUGUAACUGACGCUGAGGCUCGAAAGCGUGGGUAGCAAACAGG